rnacentral:rRNA from 1 species
ACUGGCAGGCUAGAGUCUUGUAGAGGGGGGUAGAAUUCCAGGUGUAGCGGUGAAAUGCGUAGAGAUCUGGAGGAAUACCGGUGGCGAAGGCGGCCCCCUGGACAAAGACUGACGCUCAGGUGCGAAAGCGUGGGGAGCAAACAGGAUUAGAUACCCUGGUAGUCCACGCCGUAAACGAUGUCGAUUUGGAGGUUGUGCCCUUGAGGCGUGGCUUCCGGAGCUAACGCGUUAAAUCGACCGCCUGGGGAGUACGGCCGCAAGGUUAAAACUCAAAUGAAUUGACGGGGGCCCGCACAAGCGGUGGAGCAUGUGGUUUAAUUCGAUGCAACGCGAAGAACCUUACCUGGUCUUGACAUCCACAGAACUUUCC